GCUGGUGUCUUUAGCGACGGGGACACACCUGAUCCCAUUCCGAACUCAGAAGUAAAGUCCGUCAGCGGCGAUGGUAAUGCAAGGGUAACUUUGUGUGAGAGUAGCACGAUGCCAGCU
rnacentral:rRNA from 1 species